UACGUAGGGGGCUAGCGUUGUCCGGAAUCAUUGGGCGUAAAGAGCGUGUAGGCGGUCCGGUAAGUCCGCUGUGAAAGUCGGGGGCUCAACCCUCGAAUGCCGGUGGAUACUGUCGGGCUAGAGUGCGGAAGAGGCGAGUGGAAUUCCUGGUGUAGCGGUGAAAUGCGCAGAUAUCAGGAGGAACACCGAUGGCGAAGGCAGCUCGCUGGGACGGUACUGACGCUGAGGCGCGAAAGUGUGGGGAGCAAACAGG
rnacentral:rRNA from 1 species